GGACCCGCACAAGCGGUGGAGUAUGUGGUUUAAUUCGAUGCAACACGAAGAACCUUACCAGGGUUUGAAAUCAUUUCAAAACUCCUUGAAAGAGGAGCCUCCUUCGGGAUGAAAUGACAGGUGGUGCAUGGCUGUCGUCAGCUCGUGUUGUGAAAUGUCGAGUUAAGUCUCGUAACGAGCGCAACCCAUGUCUCUUGUUGCUCACUGAGUGCUUAAGAGAGACUGCCGACCAACAUCGGAGGAAGGUGUGGAUGAUGUCAAGUCAGCAUGCCCCUUACAUCCUGGGCUACACACGUACUACAAUGGUAGGGACAAUGAGCUGCGAUCCUGCGAAGGCUAGCCAAUCUCAAAAACCGGUCUCAGUUCGGAUCGCAGUCUGCAACUCGACUGCGUGAAGCUGGAAUC
rnacentral:rRNA from 1 species